UUUCCUUACCAUCCUUAGGAGCACUGGGGGUGGAAGUUCCUCUCCAUGCUAUCUUGCAAAAGCAUAGUUUGAGGGAUCACUGAGUUAUUGGUUCCUACAGUCUCCCACUGGGGACUCUGGCAUGAGGCACCUGUCAAUCUGGAUCAGUGCGACUUCUGGAUGCCCCCUAGACCCAGCAGGAAGCCUUUUCAUCUUACAUCUAACCAGUGCUGAGUUUGACUCACUUCCGCCAUCCCCAGCCAGGCCUUGACCUUCUGUAAUCGCCCGGCCAACCUGCUGUGUCUGCAUCACACUUCAGCAAAGGUUUCCUUUGCUUUUCCAUAGUCUGUAGGGGGAGGAGGGCUCACAGGAAAUGUUACAGUACCUCUUCAAUCUUUGUAGAAAGGGCUGCUCUCCUGGGGCAGGGCUCUUGCUGACCUGUACUAGAUGGCACUUUCUGUGAGAAAGACAAACAAGAAAAGCUUUGAGUAUUUUCCCAGGUACAUGUGAAAAGAAACUCUUAUAAGAGUCUAAAAGCCUGUAUUCUCUUAUGUC
rnacentral:lncRNA from 1 species